UACAGGGGGUGCAACCGUUGCUCGGAAUCAUUGGGCGUAAAGCGCACGUAGGCGGUCUGUUAUGUCGGAUGUGAAAGCCCUUGGCUCAACUGAGGAAGUGCAUCCGAAACUGGCAGGCUAGAGUACUAAAGAGGAUCGCGGAAUUCCCGGUGUAGAGGUGAAAUUCGUAGAUAUCAGGAGGAACACCAGUGGCGAAGGCGGCGACCUGGACAGAUAUUGACGCUGAGGUGCGAAAGCGUGGGGAGCAAACAGG
rnacentral:rRNA from 1 species